AGCGAACGCUGGCGGCAGGCUUAACACAUGCAAGUCGAGCGGGCACUUCGGAGUCAGCGGCAGACGGGUGUGUAACACGUGGGAACGUACCCUUUUGCUCGGAAUACCGCUUGGAAACUAGCGCUAAUGCCGGAUACGCUCUUUUAGUGAAAGGCGUGCUGACGAAGUUUCGGCCGGCGUCGGAUUAGCUUGUGGGUGGGGUAAUGGCCUACCACGGCUUGGCUCAGUAGCUGGUCUGAGAGGCUGCGCAGCCACACUGGGACUGGGACACGGCCCAGACUCCUACGGGAGGGAGCAGAGGGGGAUAUUGGAAAACGGCGGCAAGCCUGAUCCAGCCAGGCCGCGUGAGUGAUGAAGGCGGUAGGGUUGUAAAGCUCUUUUGUCCGGGACGAUAAUGACGGUACCGGAAGAAUAAGCCCCGGCUAACUUCGUG
rnacentral:rRNA from 1 species